rnacentral:rRNA from 1 species
AGAUUUGAUCCUGGCUCAGAGUGAACGCUGGCGGCAGGCCUAAUACAUGCAAGUCGAACGGCAGCACAGUGGAGCUUGCUCCAUGGGUGGCGAGUGGCGGACGGGUGAGGAAUACAUGGGAAUCUGCCCAGUCGUGGGGAUAACGUAGGGAAACUUACGCUAAUACCGCAUGCGCCCUUCGGGGGAAAGCCGGGGACCGUAAGGCCUGGCGCGAUUGGAUGAGCCCAUGUCGGAUUAGCUAGUUGGCGGGUAACGGCCCACCAAGGCGACGAUCCGUAGCUGGUCUGAGAGGAUGAUCAGCCACACUGGAACUGAGACACGGUCCAGACUCCUACGGGAGGCAGCAGUAGGGAAUAUUGGACAAUGGGCGCAAGCCUGAUCCAGCCAUGCCGCGUGAGUGAAGAAGGCCCUCGGGUUGUAAAGCUCUUUUGUCCGGAAAGAAAAGCACUGGGUUAAUACCCCGGUGUCCUGACGGUACCGGAAGAAUAAGCACCGGCUAACUUCGUG